GUAGUCAUAUGCUUGUCUCAAAGAUUAAGCCAUGCAUGUCUAAGUAUAAGCAAUUAUACAGCGAAACUGCGAAUGGCUCAUUAUAUAAGUUAUCGUUUAUUUGAUAGUACCUUACUACUUGGAUAACCGGGGUAAUUCUAGAGCUAAUACAUGCUAAAAAUCCCGACUUCGGAAGGGAUGUAUUUAUUAGAUACAAAACCAAUGCCCUUCGGGGCUCUCUGGUGAUUCAUGAUAACUCCUCGAAUCGCAUGGCCUUGCGCCGGCGAUGGUUCAUUCAAAUUUCUUCCCUAUCAACUUUCGAUGUUAGGGUAGUGUCCAAGCAUGGUGCCAACGGGUAACGGGGAAU
rnacentral:rRNA from 1 species